GCCGAAAUAGCCUCAGUUAGGAGGAGCGUUAGGACUGAAGAUCUAAAGGUCCCUGGUUCGAUCCCGGGUUUCGGCA
rnacentral:tRNA from 1 species